GUUUGUGUAGCUCAGUGGUAGAGUGCAUGCUUUGUAUGUAUGAAGUGAAGUCCUGGGUUCAAUCCCCAGCUUCUCCC